rnacentral:tRNA from 1 species
GCCCCGGAAGGAUAACACCCAUCCCUUGGUCUUAGGAACCAACAACUCUUGGUGCAAGUACAAGCCGAGGCU